rnacentral:antisense_RNA from 1 species
GUACUAUUGCGGCCGCCCUCUGCUGUGCCUGAAGACAGAAGCGACUCUACAAGCCUCACAGCAUGCACUGUUACUAAAAAGACGAUGCGUCCUCCUGGAGCUGAGAUCUGUGUGAUCGUGGGAAAGCGACGAAAAACGAACAAAGGAACAGUAAAUGGAGUAACUUGGCUAGAAUAUGGCAGUAACUACAAGGCAUGUUCUGCUCUGGCACGAAGACAACCCACCUGAGGCACCAGACACAUGAGUGAAGCCAUCUUGGACAUCCCAGUCACAGCCAAACUCACUCCUGAGUGCAUCUGCAUGAUGAACCCAGCAAUCCCCACCAUGGAGCAAAGGAUCCAUCCAGUCAACCCAAAGAAUCGUGAAAAAUAAUAAAUUGUUGUUUUAAAGUUCUUCAGUUUGGGAAUAGCUUGUUAUGCAACAAUACAUAAUUAAUACACUGGUCUCCCACUUUCAAGUUUGAUU